GGCUCAGAACGAACGCUGGUAGCGUGGAUUAGGCAUGCAAGUCGAACGGGAUCACCUGAUUAGCAAUAACCGGGUGUGAGAGUGGCGGAUUGGGGAGGAACACGUGAGCAACCUGUCCUUGGGUUGGGGAAAACCGCGGGAAACUGCGGCUAAUACCGGAUGUGGCGCCUGGAGACAUCUUCGGAGCGCUAAAGGGGGCCGCAAGGCUCCCGCCUGGGAGGGGCUCGCGCACCAUCAGCUAGUUGGCGGGGUAACGGCCCACCAAGGCGUACGGUUAGCUGGUCUGAGAGGAUGACCAGCCCCACUGGGACUGAGAUACUGCCCAGACUCCUACGGGAGGCUGCAGUCGAGGAUCAUUUGCAAUGGGCGAAAGCCUGACAAUGCGACGCUGCGUGGAAGGAUGAAGGCCUUCGGGUUGUAAACUCCUAUCAUAAGGGAACAGGCGAGGGGACCCAACACGUCCCUUAGUUGAGUGUACUUUAAGAGGAGGCGACGGCUAACUCUGUGCCAGCCGCAGC
rnacentral:rRNA from 1 species